rnacentral:rRNA from 1 species
AAUCAACGCUGGCGGCGUGCCUAACACAUGCAAGUCGAACGCGAAAGUCCCGCAAGGGGCAAGUAGAGUGGCGCACGGGUGAGUAACACGUGGAUAACCUGCCUUCAAGUGGGGAAUAACCUUCCGAAAGGAGGGCUAAUACCGCAUAAUACCUUGAGACAAAAGGCUCGAGGUUGAAAAGAGCAAUUUGCUUGAAGAGGGGUCCGCGCCUGAUUAGCUAGUUGGUGAGGUAAUGGCNCACCAAGGCUUCGAUCAGUAGCCGUCCUGAGAGGGAGCACGGCCACACUGGAACUGAGACACGGUCCAGACUCCUACGGGAGGCAGCAGUGGGGAAUUUUUGGCAAUGGGCGCAAGCCUGACCAAGCAACGCCGCGUGGGUGAUGAAGUAUCUUGGUACGUAAAACCCUUACGG